UUUGCACAGCAAACAGACCCGGUAAUAUCUGAAUUAAAGGAACCCAUUAACCCGGCUUCAAACAUCAUCUCUUUCUUCAACCAUUAGUUUAAGUGGUAAGGUUGCGUUCUUGUACGUAAAUUGUAAGACCGGUAAUAUCGCUUUCCGUUCAGAAGCAACUCACUGUUAUGGGUAUUUUUCUGGAUGUGGUUGCUUGUAGCUCUUAGCUACAAGGUUUAUGUUAUAUGCUUGGCUGUGAGAUUUUAUUGGGAUAUGACGGCUAAAGGGAUUCAAGAAACUGGUAUUUACAUACAGCACCACCUCGAAUUGUCUUUUCCAGGCAAGAUCAGGUAUGAGCAGAAGCUAUAAUGAACAAUCUAAGAAAUUUAUGAAAUUGAACAAUUUAAGACAUUCACGAGAUCUCAUCAAAUUGAGCAAUCUAUGAAAUUUAUCUUCAGAGGCAAUCAUAGUUUAGAAAACUGCAGUUUCAACCUUUUGCCUAUAGUGCCCUCAUUACCAUUGUCUCAAUAAGUUUUCUUUAUACCAGUUUUCGCCAUUUGGUGUCCUGCUUUCUUGAUUCAUACAUUUGCUUUCUAGCAAAAUGUGAAAAUGUGAAGUGGUAUGAGAAGCUAUGCCAUGUCUUGAUUUUUAUUAUUUAUUAUUAUUGUUGUGGUGGUCAUAUUAUAUACAGUUUGUUUUGCAUAUCUUAUUAAGCAUUUUCUUUUAUAAUUCUGAAA